GACGAACGCUGGCGGCGUGCUUAACACAUGCAAGUCGAACGCUGAAGCACCAGCUUGCUGGUGUGGAUGAGUGGCGAACGGGUGAGUAAUACGUGAGUAACCUGCCCUUGACUCUGGGAUAAGCCCGGGAAACUGGGUCUAAAACUGGAUGCUACAUGUCACCGCAUGGUGGUGUGUGGAAAGGGUUUACUGGUCUUGGAUGGGCUCACGGCCUAUCAGCUUGUUGGUGAGGUAAUGGCUCACCAAGGCGACGACGGGUAGCCGGCCUGAGAGGGUGACCGGCCACACUGGGACUGAGACACGGCCCAGACUCCUACGGGAGGCAGCAGUGGGGAAUAUUGCACAAUGGGCGAAAGCCUGAUGCAGCGACGCCGCGUGAGGGAUGACGGCCUUCGGGUUGUAAACCUCUUUCAGCAGGGAAGAAGCCACAAGUGACGGUACCUGCAGAAGAAGCGCCGGCUAACUACGUG
rnacentral:rRNA from 1 species